rnacentral:lncRNA from 1 species
AGAGGGCUUUAUUUUUCCAGAGUUCUGGAGGCUGGGAAGUUCAACAUCAAAACAUCAGUAGGUUCAGUUGUCUGUUGAGGGCUCAUGUCUGUUUCCAAGAUGAUGCCUUCAUGCUGCAUCUUUUGGAAGGGAGGAGCAUUGUGUCCUCACAGAGCAGAAAAUAGAAGGGCCACAGGACAAACUCCCUCUAUCAAGCCUUUUCAUAAGGGCACCUGAUCCCAUUCGCAAAGCUCUAUCUUCGUGACUUGACUUAAUCACUUCCCAAAGGUCCCACCUCCUAAUACUUACACUGUUUCAACAGUAAACAGUUUAUGUAGAGUUUCAACAUAAAUUAAGGAGGGGACAAAACAUCCAAACCAAGGAAGGCUGGGAGGGCAGCCAGAGGGAAAGUGCAAGAGGAGGUUUGGUGGAGGUGUCCUAGAUUGUUUGCAGUCCAAGGAGGUUGGGGAGAGUGUCAGUAACAGGCCUGCCUUGGUAUCCCUGCUCUGCAGUCACUGGCUAAGAGCAGUCCUUAGAAAGCACAGCCUGGCACAAAUACAACAAGAAUAUGUGCUCAGUAGGAAAGAGACCACAUUUCCCCAAUAGCCCAGGUAAUGCCCUCCCCUCAACUGGCAUCUCUGUUCCCUAAACAUUGACCUCUUUUCUCUGAAUCUCUUGGGGACACAUGGGUUGAAUUCAGGUUCUCUGUAGCCCUCUGGAUUCUGUCUGCCUCUGUUAUAUCUUCACGAACAAGUUACGCAGCCUCAACUAAAGCUUGUAACAGAGCAAAGUUACUCUCCUGAGUGUGUCCUCUGAUGGAUGGUGAGAUAUAACUUCAAGAUGAAGCCUCACCCACACUCCCUGUACAAAAACGCUUCUCACCUGUGUCACUCUGGAAGCUUUGAUCAGAAAAUUGUAGUUGCUGUUGCCUCUGAUGUGCAAGUCCAAGAUUCUUGGGCCGCAGGACAUGUUCUGCAUAUAUUCCUGGAGAAUAGACCAACAAUGAGACUGAAUCAGUAACGAAAAGUCUUCUAUGAAAGAAAAACCCAGAACCAGAUUGCUUUACUGCUUAAUUCUAAUAAACUCAUAAAGAACAACAAACACCAAUUCUUCUCAAACUAUUCCAAAAAAAUUGAAGCAGGGCAGGGAGGAAUUCUUCCUAACUCAUUCUAAAAGGCCAGCAUUAUCCUGAUACCAAAACCAGACAAGGACACAGCAAAAACAGAGAACUACAGGCCAAUAUCCCUGAUGAUGCUAAAUG